AUCAGUGAGGAUAUAUUUGCUGGGUUCAAUUGUACCCUCCGUGGGGGUAAUGUUACACACCAUGAAUACAUCCAGGUUGGU
rnacentral:snoRNA from 1 species